rnacentral:tRNA from 1 species
AGCAAAGUCAGCUAAACAAGCUAUCGGGCCCAUACCCCGAAAAUGUCAUACGACCUUUGCUA